rnacentral:rRNA from 1 species
UACGGAGGGUGCAAGCGUUAUCCGGAUUUACUGGGUUUAAAGGGUGUGUAGGCGGACUUUUAAGUCAGCGGUGAAAUCUCCGGGCUCAACCCGGAAACUGCCAUUGAUACUAUUGGUCUUGAAUGUUGUUGAGGUGGGCGGAACGGGUCAUGUAGCGGUGAAAUGCAUGGAUAUGACCCGGAACACCGAUUGCGUAGGCAGCCCACUAAGCAACGAUUGACGCUGAGGCACGAAAGCGUGGGGAUCAAACAGG